rnacentral:rRNA from 1 species
GAUGAACGCUAGCGACAGGCCUAACACAUGCAAGUCGAGGGGCAGCGAGGAUGUAGCAAUACAUUUGUCGGCGACCGGCGCACGGGUGAGUAACGCGUAUGCAACCUACCCGACACAGGGGGAUAACCCGGAGAAAUUCGGACUAAUACCGCAUAAAACAGGGGUCCCGCAUGGGAAUAUUUGUUAAAGAAUUAUCGGUGUCGGAUGGGCAUGCGUUCCAUUAGCUAGUUGGUGAGGUAACGGCUCACCAAGGCCACGAUGGAUAGGGGUUCUGAGAGGAUGAACGGCCACAUUGGGACUGAGAUACGGCCCAGACUCCUACGGAGGCAGCAGUGGGGAAUAUUGGGCAAUGGGGGAAACCCUGACCCAGCAACGCCGCGUGAAGGAAGAAGGCCUUCGGUUGGUAAC